CGGAAUACCACCAGCUGCCAGGGAGAACGAGCUUGGAGCUAGCGGCAGGGCUUAACCCGGCGAAGCUCUGAGAUGGGUUGCUGAAGGAUUCCGGGAGGCAGCUGCAACAGGGCAUCACUCACUGUCCAGGCAUAUCCGUUUCUGAGUGCAAAAGGAAGAACUUGAGCGAGCGGCAAUUGGAGUGAAAAUUGCUUUGUAGUAUCUAAAAGCAGCAUGGAUCGUGGGCAGCUGAGCUGCAACAAAUCAACAGAAAUUCAUGUGAAAAUCAUUGACCACCAUAUGCUGCUCCAGCUUCCUUCAGCUCCUAAUUCUAGGAGCUUGACAACUAAAGCAAACCACAGACAGCCACAGGCACUCACUGCCAGCCCUGACAAAAAAAAUCACAAAAGUCACCUCACAGGAGUGUGAGACCUUAAGGAAAAGUCCAUUCCUUCCUGAUGGUUGGUUUAAGAAUGGAAAAGGGGGAAAGGCCCAAUGAACAGCUAUUCUGAAUGCUGUUAUUCCUCGGCUUCCUGCUGUGUAUUUGCUGAUUCUGAGGCUAUAGUUUACCUAAGUUCUCUUGAAAAGGACAGUACAUAGCUUGUUUUUCUUAGAUUUUGCUGUCAUGAUUUCUCCUCUAUUCAAUUAUGUAUGCCUUUAAACUUUCAAGGUAUCUAAUGGGAUUUCUCCUCUCCCCACUGCUAUCUGGUUUCAUUAUGUUUUAAAUUAGUGUAAUUUUUAUAAUAACUUUGCCAUUAAAAUUCAAAACUUAGAAUGAUAGGUAAGAAAACAUUUGUGAUUAGUCUUCCAUUUUCAAACUGAAUUUAAUCUGUCAUAACCUAACACUUAUUUUGCUUGCAGACUGUAUAAAUUAUAUUGCAAUGAAGUUAUUAAAGGUACAAUUGAUUAACAAACACAUUUGUUGUAAUAAUAUUUUCACUUCAAGAGAGGUCAUUGAAAUAUAUGUAGAUGUGUUGGGAG
ensembl:lncRNA